AUAUAUAUAUAUAUGUUGUAUUAUGAAUGAAAUUAUGAAUGAAAGAAUUUAGCACUUUCCAAGUUGUGAUUUGAAGAUACAAUUUAAUUUAAACUAUCCUUGCAUGAAGAGGUAAGCUUUGUUUGAACCUACUUGAUUUAUGCUUAUGAGGAAUCAAUCUCCUUCUGAGUGCAAAGUGCCUAUAGAGUUUUCAAGAAAGCUCACAUUUGAUUCAAGAAUUCUCAAGUUAUGAUUAGUUGAGGUUUUUUCAACUUCAAUACCAAUGUUAGUUACAUCUUCGGGGAUGUUUUAUUGCACUAUGCAGAAAGACAAAAACAAUUGAUAUUACAUCAAUGAACAUUAUAUUUGUUUUUGUUAUGCCUUUAUAUUCAUUCAUGCUGGUACAAGUGGGGCAGGCACCAUUUGAAGCUGCUUCAGUG
rnacentral:misc_RNA from 1 species